AGAUGAGCUCGCGUCCGAUUAGCUAGUUGGUGGGGUAAAGGCUUACCAAGGCAGCGAUCGGUAGCUGGUCUGAGAGGAUGACCAGCCACACGGGAACUGAGACACGGCCCAGACUCCUACGGGAGGCAGCAGUGGGGAAUUUUGCGCAAUGGGCGAAAGCCUGACGCAGUAACGCCGCGUGGAGGAUGAAGGCCUUCGGGUCGUAAACUCCUGUCAGGGGGAAAGACAGGUACUUGUUAAAUAGACAGGUACUUAGACGGUACCCCCAAAGGAAGCCCCGGCUAAUUCCGUGUUUUUUAGCCGCGGUAAUA
rnacentral:rRNA from 1 species